GACAACAUCAAAAGAAAAACGUACAACAAAAAAUAUUUGUUGUCUCGAGAGAGAAAGUCGACUCGACAACAUAGAUCAGAAAAAUAAGGAUCUGGAUCAGACAAUCUCUAUUUUCCAAUUCUGAAAACCCAGAGUAAGAUCCAUCAUUUAUCGAGAUUAAUCGAGUUACCGAUGUCUUCUUCGAUUGAUAAGUGAGCUAAUCGAAUUUGGAAACAUAUUUGGGGAGAUUUGCGGCUUACAAUAAAGUCAGCAGUGAUUCCAUCUUAUUAGAACUGGACAGCCAUAUAUGAUGUGAGAUAGGUUGAAGUUCAUACAUGUAACAAAGUACUGCUAUCAUCACUAAGUGUUUUCCAGGUAAUUUGAUUGAGGAUUUUAUCUUCACAAAUCUGAGAACACAAAUGAUGAUGCUUCCAUCAGAAUUAUGACAUGAUCUAAAAGCGUGUGCAGCCAAGGAAGCCCACAAGAUACGUAAUUGGUGGAGGAAAAUAUUGGAAGUCAAUGAGUUUCAACACAAAUCUCGCAUAGGAUCAGAAUGGAAGGCAAUAAAAUCUCUAUUUAUUCAGGAUUAAAAAAGGUAUAACUGAAAUGGACUUGGAUUUACAUGUUAUUUUUCGAGCCCAAAGCAUGUGUUGUAAAAUAUUAACCCAAUGGCAUCCCUGUAAAUAAGUACCAAGUCCAGGAUUUAUUCUAUAAAUGUUU